UACGGAGGGUGCAAGCGUUAUCCGGAAUCACUGGGUUUAAAGGGUGCGUAGGCGGUCAGAUAAGUCAGUUGUGAAAUACCCCGGCUUAACCGGCGGAACUGCGAUUGAUACUGUUUGACUUGAAUCAGGUUGAGGUAGGCGGAAUGUGGCAUGUAGCGGUGAAAUGCUUAGGAUAUGCCAUAGAACACCGAUUGCGAAGGCAGCUUGCUGGACCUGUAUUGACGCUGAGGCACGAAAGCGUGGGGAGCAAACGGG
rnacentral:rRNA from 1 species